AGGGGACUGGCUGGCGGAACUCCAGAGGAAAAAGACGUGAGAACCGAGAACUGGAAAGAGGACUGGUUUAAGUCCCAGUCCAAGGACAGAAGACUGAUGUCCCAGCUCACAAGCAGGCAGGAAGCAAACGUGAGUCCUUGCUUUUUUUUUGUACUUAGAAGCAAACUGGUAAAAUUCCAGUGAACAUCCUUGGGGAUAAUUUCAGCUGACCAAGUUGGGCUCAUUCCAAGGAAGAACUCAGGAUGCAGAGAUUGGGCAGGAAUGAACACAUGAUCCAAGUCAGAAGAUAUGUAAACACAAUUCACAUACCGUUAAGAUAGAGGAUGAUGGAUAACGGAGAUCUCCACUUACAAAACAACCCAGAGAGGGGAUCCGAAUAUGCCACCCCAAAUAUGCCACUCUGGCUUAAGGAUUACUUGGAGCUGAAGGCAAAUGAGAAUCAACAGACUCAAGAAGCAUUCUCCACCAUCUCCUUACCUGCCUAAAAGCAGAGCAUAAUUUUCCCUUUGGGGAACCUGCCUCCCCACCCCUGUACCAGGAAGAGAAGAGCACUCUUAUCACCAGAGAUGGGAGGGGCGUCAGCACUGAGACAAGUCUGCAUAAACAGACUUUACUAGAAUAGCUCUUCUCUUUCAUUAUUCUGCCCAUAUAUUUCCUAGUCACUUCCCCAUAAUUUAUCAUCCCAUGAAGCCCAAA